rnacentral:misc_RNA from 1 species
GAUUGCCGCGAUGACUGAUCUCCGUGCUCAAGACACUUUACGAUGCAAACAGACGAGACCGACGCCUCUGGGAGCAUAUUUCGGAACAGGUAGGAUGGUGCUUGCCGCUUGGACGCAGGUUGCGCGUACGGUGCCCGAGCCGCGGGGUUACCGGCAGCGUACGCAGCUGCACCUGCUUCGUCGGCAGCUCUGCGAUGAGCCCGUGGAUGUAUUUGGGAGCGGUACGGUUCCCUGAUAGUUCCCGAUUCUCUAGCCGAGUACUGUGAACGCCACGAAAACGAACACGGUGACGACGGCGAUGACGAUGAGACUCAGCGAAAUUCCCAGGAUAGCACUGAUAAAGAGCCAAAGGACGCGCAGGACGGCGAGAGCGACGAGCACCACGCCUGCCCAGAGGAUCAGUUGCUCCCAGAACGUCCGCGACGGGUCGCUUGUGUAAACGCCCUUGGCAGGCUGCACAGGCGCGUCGCGCAGGACGCGUCGGAGUGCCGGCGAUAUAAAGGGCCGCUCAUCUGACUCUGGGAGCAGCACACUGUCGAGGUAGUCAUCGUCCAAGGGCGGUGGGUCCGCGGGGGCACCACGCGCCCGCGCGACGGCGCUCCUAAGCAGGUUGGGCACGUUGCCGGGGGAGAGACGCUCGAGGCUUCGCCUCAGUCGGCCGAGCAACCAGCGCUGUAGCGCAUUCAGCCGCAGCGACCGCUCACCAGGUCGUACACGCACUGUCUGGGUCGGCUGGUCGCCACUGGACGGUGACGCUGGUGACGGCUCUGACACAGCACAGCGUGCCGGUGUGCGGCUAGUUCUUGACGCCGAAUGCUUCACCCGCCGCACCCGUAACAACGCGCCUCCAGACGCAAACUCGACGAAAGCAUACCUCUGCAAACCGCGUUGCAUAGAACAUGGGCGUCUUGCAGGUUAUUGGAGCACAGCCUCAGUACACGUUUAUGCAACAGAAGCGCGUCGAGCGUAGAGCGUAUCGGUGCAACCGAGGCCGCCCAGAGCUCGCUGUACCUGCCGCGCGCGAACCUGUGCCGCGUCAACUGCCCUGCUGCUGUCGUGUGUUGUAACAUACGCUCUGCAACCGGCACAAGAUCAUGAGGUCGCAAGCCCACGACCCUCGGUCGAUAGAGUUCACGCGCUUUCGUCGGUGCGCAUCGCUUCAGAUGCGUCCUGUGUUGCAGGCGACACGAAAGCGCCUCGUAUUACAGACUUGUCGAGAGAGGCGCACCUGAGACACGCUUGGAACCGUCAUACAUGUACAAAAGGCGCAUCCGCUGGCGAUCCUAUGCCACGCUGCUCUGCGGAUCGCCGUCUGCGAUGCACAGACCAGCGGCAGUGUCGCUCGAAUUCUCGCCUGCUGCAUGCUCAAUGCGUACGCGAUGAAUGCCGUCCUAGUGCUUCUCCUCGGUGAGACUCGGAUGCGGUACGAGGCCACUGAGAUAAUUCGGCCAGCGCUUCAGGUUAUUCGGAUCACAGUACCAGGUCUUGGUUCGGCGCAGGCCCUCUUCCCAGGACACCUGCGGCCUCCAGCCCAGCGCAUGCAGCUUCGACGAGUCGAUCCUGUAGCGCAUAUCGUUGAGGGUGCGAUCUUUGACAAACUCGAUGUGGCGGUUCGCCUCGGCAGACAGGCCGAAGAGAUCGAUAAUGUCGUGCACAACGUCAAUGUUGCGUUUCUCGAUCUCAGAGCCUACGUUGUAGACCUCAUCGGUCUCGCCACAAUGCAGGAUGGUGUCAAAGGCGCUCGCAGCGUCCUCGACGUACAAAAAGUUGCGUGCAUGCUCACCAGAGCCGUGUACAAAGCAGGGCCGGCGUUGCGCCAGCAGACAGAUACUCUUGGGAAUGAGCUUGUCGGGGAACUGGUGCGGCCCGUACACGUUGUUGCCGCGUGUGAUGAUCACCGGCAAUCCGAACGACUUGACGUAGCCGCGGCAAAUGAAUUCGGCGGCGGCCUUGCUACAUGCGUACGGGUUCGUGGGUGCCAGGAUCGAUGACUCUGUCUCCAUGUUGCUCUCGCCGCCGUACACUUCAUCGGUGCUGACGUGAAUGAAGCGCCGCACUUUGCCGUACUGGCGUGCGCACUCCAGGAGGACGUGCGUUCCCAGCACGUUGUUCUCCGUAAACAGGAUCGAGGACGUGAACGAGUUGUCGACAUGCGUGCACGCCGCAAAGUGGAGCACUGUAUCGAUGCACUCCUCCUGGAGCACGUAAAGCACCAGGUCAUGCGAGCGGAUAUCGCCGCGAAUAAACUUGAAGUUUGGUCGGUUUGCCACCUGCGCGAGGUUGCUCAGCGACGAGCAGUAGUCGAGCUUGUCCAGUACCGUCACGCGGUAGUGGGGAUAUCGACUCACGAGCCGUUCGACUACGUGCGAGGCAAUAAAGCCGGCACCGCCAGUCACAAGGAUAUUCCGCGGCACGAAGCGCAGACGGUCGCCGUAGACGACCCGCGCGUCCGAGUUCCCGUCGGGCUGCCCACUGGUUACCGACUUGGCACCGUUCGAAAGCGCCGUGCUCUGCGAGGACAUUUAUCGCGGCAGCGUGCGCCUUUCGACUCGGACACACACAACCACACGCACCGGCUACUUCCGCGCUCUGCCUGCACGGACGGUAAACGCCACGAUCG